rnacentral:rRNA from 1 species
UACGUAGGGCGCGAGCGUUGUCCGGAAUUAUUGGGCGUAAAGGGCUCGUAGGCGGUUUGUCGCGUCGGGAGUGAAAACACCGGGCUUAACUCGGUGCUUGCUUUCGAUACGGGCAGACUGGAGGUAUGCAGGGGAGAACGGAAUUCCUGGUGUAGCGGUGAAAUGCGCAGAUAUCAGGAGGAACACCGGUGGCGAAGGCGGUUCUCUGGGCAUUACCUGACGCUGAGGAGCGAAAGUGUGGGGAGCGAACAGG